rnacentral:tRNA from 1 species
GAGGGCAUAGCUCAGGGGUAGAGCGUGUGCCUGGCAUGCAUGGAGGUCCUGGUUCAACCCCCAGUACCUCCA